rnacentral:rRNA from 1 species
CAGCCGCGGUAAUUCCAGCUCCAAUAGCGUAUAUUAAAGUUGUUGCAGUUAAAAAGCUCGUAGUUGAAUUUCGGGAUCAAGUCGUCGGUCGUGCCUCGGUACGCACUGGUGACAUUGGUUUCUCCCUUCUGAAGAACCUUGAUGUCAUUAAUUUGGUGUCUUGGGGAAUCAGGACUGUUACUUUGAAAAAAUUAGAGUGUAUAAA